rnacentral:rRNA from 1 species
UACGUAGGUGGCAAGCGUUGUCCGGAUUUACUGGGCGUAAAGCGCGCGCAGGCGGUCCUUUAAGUCUGAUGUGAAAGCCCACGGCUCAACCGUGGAGGGUCAUUGGAAACUGGGGGACUUGAGUGCAGAAGAGGAAAGCGGAAUUCCACGUGGUAGCGGUGAAAUGCGUAGAGAUGUGGAGGAACACCAGUGGCGAAGGCGGCUUUCUGGUCUGUAACUGACGCUGAGGCGCGAAAAGCGUGGGGAGCAAACAGG